rnacentral:rRNA from 1 species
GAUGAACGCUAGCGACAGGCUUAACACAUGCAAGUCGAGGGGUAACAGGGUAGCAAUACCGCUGACGACCGGCGCACGGGUGAGUAACGCGUAUGCAACCUGCCUAUAACUGGGGAAUAGCUCCCUGAAAGGGGAAUUAACACCGCAUAACACUAUUGAUUCGCAUGGAUUGGUAGUUAAAUGUAGCGAUACAGGUUAUAGAUGGGCAUGCGUGACAUUAGCUAGUUGGUGAGGUAACGGCUCACCAAGGCUACGAUGUCUAGGGGUUCUGAGAGGAAGGUCCCCCAACUGGUACUGAGACACGGACCAGACUCCUACGGGAGGCAGCAGUGAGGAAUAUUGGUCAAUGGGCCAAGCCUGAACCAGCCAUGUCGCGUGCAGGAAGACUGCCCUAUGGGUUGUAAACUGCUUUUAAAGUAGAAGAAACACAUCUACGCGUAGAUGUCUGCCAGUAUACUAUGAAUAAGCAUCGGA